rnacentral:rRNA from 1 species
UACGUAGGGAGCAAGCGUUGUUCGGAUUUACUGGGCGUAAAGGGUGCGUAGGCGGCAAAUUAAGUCAGCUGUGAAAUCUCCGAGCUUAACUCGGAACUGUCAGCUGAUACUGAUCUGCUAGAGUGCGGAAGGGGCAAUCGGAAUUCUUGGUGUAGCGGUGAAAUGCGUAGAUAUCAAGAGGAACACCUGAGGUGAAGACGGGUUGCUGGGCCGACACUGACGCUGAGUGCGCGAAAGCCAGGGGAGCAAACGGG